rnacentral:rRNA from 1 species
UGACUGUACCCUAAGAAUAAGGUCCGGCUAACUUCGUGCCAGCAGCCGCGGUAAUACGAAGGGACCUAGCGUAGUUCGGAAUUACUGGGCGUAAAGCGCGCGUAGGCCGUUGAGUUAGUUAAUUGUGAAAUCCCAAAGCUUAACUUUGGAACUGCAAUUAAAACUGCUCGACUAGAGUUUGAUAGAGGAAAGCGGAAUACAUAGUGUAGAGGUGAAAUUCGUAGAUAUUAUGUAGAACACCAGUUGCGAAGGCGGCUUUCUGGAUCAGCACUGACGCUGAGGCGCGAAAGUAUGGGUAGCAAAGAGGAUUAGAUACCCUCGUAGUCCAUACCAUAAACGAUGAUUGCUAGAUGUUGGAAAUUUAUUUUCAGUAUCGCAGCUAACGCAUUAAGCAAUCCGCCUGGGGAGUACGACCGCAAGGUUAAAACUCAAAUGAAUUGACGGGGACCCGCACAAGCGGUGGAGCAUGUGGUUUAAUUCGAAGAUACGCGCAGAACCUUACCAACCCUUGACAUGUCUGUCGCGAGUUUAGGAAACUAGACUUUUCGGUUCGGCCGGACAGAACACAGGUGCUGCAUGGCUGUCGUCAGC